rnacentral:rRNA from 1 species
GGGUGACGGAGCGACGCCGCGUGGGUGAAGAAGGCCUUCGGGUUGUAAAACCCUGUCAGGAGUUAUGAAAUGUAAGUGCGCUAAUAUCGUGCUUAUUUGACAAAGGCUCCAAAGGAAGCCACGGCUAACUUUGUGCCAGCAGCCGCGGUAAUACAGAGGUGGCGAGCGUUGUUCGGAAUUAUUGGGCGUAAAGAGCACGUAGGUGGGUUUGCAAGUCAGAUGUGAAAGCCUUCUGUUCAACGGAAGAAUUGCAUCUGAAACUGCUGAUCUUGAGUAUAGGAGGGGAGAAUGGAACUUCUGGUGGAGCGGUGAAAUGCGUAGAUAUCAGAAGGAUCGCCGGCGGCGAAAGCGAUUCUCUGGCCUAUUACUGACACUCAGUGUGCGAAAGCUAGGGGAGCAAACGGGAUUAGAUACCCCGGUAGUCCUAGCCGUAAACGAUGGGCACUAAGUAGAGG